rnacentral:rRNA from 1 species
UUAAGUUAGAAAGGGCGCACGGUGGAUGCCUUGACACUAGGAGUCGAUGAAGGACGGGACUAACGCCGAUAUGCUUCGGGGAGCUGUAAGUAAGCUUUGAUCCGAAGAUUUCCGAAUGGGGAAACCCACCAUACGUAAUGGUAUGGUAUCCUUAUCUGAAUACAUAGGGUAAGGAAGACAGACCCAGGGAACUGAAACAUCUAAGUACCUGGAGGAAGAGAAAGCAAAUGCGAUUUCCUGAGUAGCGGCGAGCGAAACGGAACAUAGCCCAAACCAAGAGGCUUGCCUCUUGGGGUUGUAGGACAUUCUAUACGGAGUUACAAAGGAACGAGGUAGACGAAGCGACCUGGAAAGGUCCGUCGUAGAGGGUAACAACCCCGUAGUCGAAACUUCGUUCUCUCUUGAAUGUAUCCUGAGUACGGCGGAACACGUGAAAUUCCGUCGGAAUCUGGGAGGACCAUCUCCCAAGGCUAAAUACUCCCUAGUGAUCGAUAGUGAACCAGUACCGUGAGGGAAAGGUGAAAAGCACCCCGGAAGGGGAGUGAAAGAGAUCCUGAAACCGUGUGCCUACAAAUAGUCAGAGCCCGUUAACGGGUGAUGGCGUGCCUUUUGUAGAAUGAACCGGCGAGUUACGAUCCCGUGCGAGGUUAAGCUGAAGAGGCGGAGCCGCAGCGAAAGCGAGUCUGAAUAGGGCGUUUAGUACGUGGUCGUAGACCCGAAACCAGGUGAUCUACCCAUGUCCAGGGUGAAGUUCAGGUAACACUGAAUGGAGGCCCGAACCCACGCACGUUGAAAAGUGCGGGGAUGAGGUGUGGGUAGCGGAGAAAUUCCAAUCGAACCUGGAGAUAGCUGGUUCUCCCCGAAAUAGCUUUAGGGCUAGCCUUAAGUGUAAGAGUCUUGGAGGUAGAGCACUGAUUGGACUAGGGGUCCUCAUCGGAUUACCGAAUUCAGUCAAACUCCGAAUGCCAAUGACUUAUCCUUAGGAGUCAGACUGCGAGUGAUAAGAUCCGUAGUCAAAAGGGAAACAGCCCAGACCGCCAGCUAAGGUCCCAAAGUGUGUAUUAAGUGGAAAAGGAUGUGGAGUUGCUUAGACAACUAGGAUGUUGGCUUAGAAGCAGCCACCAUUUAAAGAGUGCGUAAUAGCUCACUAGUCGAGUGACUCUGCGCCGAAAAUGUACCGGGGCUAAAUACACCACCGAAGCUGCGGAUUGAUACCAAUGGUAUCAGUGGUAGGGGAGCGUUCUAAGGACAGUGAAGUCAGACCGGAAGGACUGGUGGAGUGCUUAGAAGUGAGAAUGCCGGUAUGAGUAGCGAAAGACGGGUGAGAAUCCCGUCCACCGAAUGCCUAAGGUUUCCUGAGGAAGGCUCGUCCGCUCAGGGUUAGUCAGGACCUAAGCCGAGGCCGACAGGCGUAGGCGAUGGACAACAGGUUGAUAUUCCUGUACCACCUCUUUAUCGUUUGAGCAAUGGAGGGACGCAGAAGGAUAGAAGAAGCGUGCGAUUGGUUGUGCACGUCCAAGCAGUUAGGCUGAUAAGUAGGCAAAUCCGCUUAUCGUGAAGGCUGAGCUGUGAUGGGGAAGCUCCUUAUGGAGCGAAGUCUUUGAUUCCCCGCUGCCAAGAAAAGCUUCUAGCGAGAUAAAAGGUGCCUGUACCGCAAACCGACACAGGUAGGCGAGGAGAGAAUCCUAAGGUGUGCGAGAGAACUCUGGUUAAGGAACUCGGCAAAAUGACCCCGUAACUUCGGGAGAAGGGGUGCUUUCUUAACGGAAAGCCGCAGUGAAUAGGCCCAAGCGACUGUUUAGCAAAAACACAGCUCUCUGCGAAGCCGUAAGGCGAAGUAUAGGGGGUGACACCUGCCCGGUGCUGGAAGGUUAAGGAGAGGGGUUAGCGUAAGCGAAGCUCUGAACUGAAGCCCCAGUAAACGGCGGCCGUAACUAUAACGGUCCUAAGGUAGCGAAAUUCCUUGUCGGGUAAGUUC